rnacentral:lncRNA from 10 species
UGUACCUCCAAAGAUAGGCCUCAGAUCACCUGGCAGGUCUUAACACAUCUAGAAGAAAGGAUCUGAGUGACAGGCUUAGGUGCGUUGUCUGCGUCCCAGGAACAGAGCAAAGCACACUGGCUCAGGCAUGAGGAAGCCACACCCCAAUCCUGCCUUUCAGGUGCCAAUGGAGAACAACCCCUUCAGCGGAACCAUGGUGCUUUACAUCUCUCUCUGAACUCUCAGAUCUCCUAAGUGGAGAUGGCUGAUUAAGGCUCUUAUCUUUCACGUUCUAAAAUCAAUUUAGUGUUGUUCGGAGCCAGCAAUGUUAAAAUAUAUUUGUAUUUUGAAACAAAGUUAACAUAGAGAAAUGAAAAAUAAAAUGUUGAGAAUUUUACAUUUAAUUGCAGAUAUAAUUCUGUGUUCUGUAUGUUACUUAGUUUUCUAUCUUAAAUAGUUUGAAGGUAAACACUUCUUUUAC